AGCGAACGCUGGCGGCAGGCCUAACACAUGCAAGUCGAACGAACCUUUCGGGGUUAGUGGCGGACGGGUGAGUAACACGUGGGAACGUGCCUUUAGGUUCGGAAUAACUCAGGGAAACUUGUGCUAAUACCGAAUGUGCCCUUCGGUGGAAAGAUUUAUCGCCUUUAGAGCGGCCCGCGUCUGAUUAGCUAGUUGGUUGAGGUAAUGGCUCACCAAGGCGACGAUCAGUAGCUGGUAUGAGAGGAUGAUCAGCCACAUUGGGACUGAGACACGGCCCAAACUACUACGGGAGGCAGCAGUGGGGAAUCUUGCGCAAUGGGCGAAAGCCUGACGCAGCCAUGCCGCGUGAAUGAUGAAGGUCUUAGGAUUGUAAAAUUCUUUCACCGGGGACGAUAAUGACGGUACCCGGAGAAGAAGCCCCGGCUAACUUCGUG
rnacentral:rRNA from 1 species